rnacentral:rRNA from 1 species
AUUGAACGCUGGCGGCAGGCCUAACGCAUGCAAGUCGAGCGGUAGCACAGAGAGCUUGCUCUCGGGUGACGAGCGGCGGACGGGUGAGUAAUGUCUGGGAAACUGCCUGAUGGAGGGGGAUAACUACUGGAAACGGUAGCUAAUACCGCAUAACGUCGCAAGACCAAAGUGGGGGACCUUCGGGCCUCAUGCCAUCAGAUGUGCCCAGAUGGGAUUAGCUAGUAGGUGGGGUAACGGCUCACCUAGGCGACGAUCCCUAGCUGGUCUGAGAGGAUGACCAGCCACACUGGAACUGAGACACGGUCCAGACUCCUACGGGAGGCAGCAGUGGGGAAUAUUGCACAAUGGGCGCAAGCCUGAUGCAGCCAUGCCGCGUGUGUGAAGAAGGCCUUCGGGUUGUAAAGCACUUUCAGCGGGGAGGAAGGCGUUAAGGUUAAUAACCUUGGCGAUUGACGUUACCCGCAGAAGAAGCACCGGCUAACUCCGUGCCAGCAGCCGCCGUAA